rnacentral:rRNA from 1 species
ACUUGCCAAUCCUAAAUAUACUAAAAGCCCCAGAUCCCAUUUGAUCUUGGGAGCUAAGAAGAGUCAGGCAUGGUUAGUACUUGGAUGGGAGGCCACCAAUGAAUAUCAGGUGAUGUAGGUU